ensembl:lncRNA
GGCUCAGGUCUCUAGCUGGCAGCUUUGCGGUGAGCCUGGGACAGUGGGGAAGGAGGCAUUCUACCCAGGUUUGCAAAGCUGACUUGCCUCAGAGACCCCGACUGCCGACCGCCUUCCUCUGGACUUCUACUUGCAGCUGGACUGAAUGGAGAAAUGCCUGGCAUGAGUGGUGCCGUGAGUCAGCGCAGAUCCAAGCUCUGUCCCUCUGCCCCUCUGCUCUGCUCUUUGCCAGACCACACAGCCUCCCUCCCCUCCUGCCAAGCGUGGCCAGCGUGCCGUCCAGGCCCUGGCGACAUAAUGGCCAACACAACAGUCACAUGGUCUGUUCCCAUGGCAUUUUCUUUCUAGACACAAUCAAGGCCUGAAAAGACGAUGAGAAUGCAGAUCUGGAAAUUCUGGCUGUAAAAUACCCCACAGAAAGGUGAACGAAGAAGGAACCACAAAUAAAGUCACCGCCACUGAGUGUUUACUGUGUGUUAUGGGUUGAACUGUGCCCACCCCCAAAAACCCAUGUGUUCCAGUCCUAACCCCCAGAGUGUGCCCUUAUUUGGAAAUAAGGUUGGUGCAGACACAAUUAGUUAAGCUGAGGUCAUAAGGAGCAGAGUGGGCCCCUUAUCCAAUACGACUGGUGUCCUCACGAAAAGGGAAAAUUUGAACACAGACACACUCAGGGAGAACACCGUGUGAAGAGUGGAGUCACGCUGCCCCAAACCAAGGACCUACCAGAAGCUCCGAGAGAGGCCUGGAACAGAUCCUUCUCUGGAGCUUUCAGAGGGAGCACAACCCUGACGACACCUGGAUCUUGGACUUCCGGCCUCCAGAACUGUGAGACAACAAAUUCCUGUUGUUUCAGCCUCUCAGUUCAUGGUCCUCUGUUACAGCAGCCCUGGCAAAUGCAUAUGAUAUGUAAUAGGUGCUAUGCUAACUGAUUUACAUCCACUGUCUCAUUUAACCCUCGGGACAACCCAUCAAUAGGUACCAUGGUCCGUUUUAUGGAAGAAUAAAUUAAACGAGAGGAAGGGUAAGUAACUUGUUCAAGGCUGAGCUGCUUCAAUCUAAAAGGACAGUGGUAUUCAAAGCCUCGGGCUCAGGGAAGCCCGCCCCACACCCAACCUACCCUAAUUGGGUAAAUCCCACGGCGUUCUUCACUCAGCCUUUCAAUCCUUGCUCAAAAUAGAUGUUGUCUCUUCAACAUCUGCUUGGCUUCUGGUUAAGAUGCUUGCAUGCCCUGUGUGGUGGUCAGAUUGGUGCACUCACCUGUUCUAAGUCCAUAUACAUGGAAAGACCUAGUGAGUUGUGAUGUUUAUGUCACACGUGGCACCUAAAUGCCUACCCCCUCAUUUACCAACAAAUGGGAGCCAACUCUCCUGGCUUCAUGCCAUCUCACUGUGCAACGUCCAAUAUACACACACACAUACACACACACACACCCCAGCCAUCAUAGUACAGACUGUUCAUGUGAUUUAUGUUUGUUUAAUUUGUAUUUUUGUCCAUGGUUUGUCACCCAGUUGUGUGCAGAUUCCUUACCUCAGCCUUCUUCUAUCUAGCCCCAGAAGAUGUGUUCCAUUUUCAAAGUCGUGGGAGCCAAGUAAAACCUCCUUCGUUGUCAUGGGCUAAUGGGCUAUAGAGCAGCUGCAGACCUGAUCCUGAGACACCGUGUCAGGGCUGAG